GCAGAAUUGGAGUCUCAUAUUAUGAUUCUAAUGCCCGACAACUUUUUGUUUUAGAAGUUUGGGAAGAGAGUUCUGGAGAAUUUCCCCUGAUUGAACUUGUUAAAUAUCAAGCCAAACCAAAUGUUAUCUAUGCUAGCACAAAAACUGAGGAGUCAUUCUUAUUUGCCUUGAAGCGAAGUGAGGGAAAUGAGGAAAUUGAAGUAAAGCUUAUGCGCAGUUCUCUCUUCAGUUAUGAACAAGCAUGGCACAG